UACGUAGGGGGCAAGCGUUGUCCGGAAUCAUUGGGCGUAAAGCGCGUGUAGGCGGCUCGGUAAGUCUGCUCUGAAAGCCCGGGGCUCAACCCUGGGAGGCGGGUGGAUACUGCUGAGCUCGAGUCCGGAAGAGGCGAGUGGAAUUCCUGGUGUAGCGGUGAAAUGCGCAGAUAUCAGGAGGAACACCGAUUGCGAAGGCAGCUCGCUGGGACGUGACUGACGCUGAGACGCGAAAGCGUGGGGAGCAAACAGG
rnacentral:rRNA from 1 species